GGCCCAUACUGUCUGUUGGUUAGAGCAUGGUGCUAAUAAUGCCAAGGUUGCAGGUUUGAUCCCUGUAUGGGCCA
rnacentral:tRNA from 1 species